CCCCUCUCAGGAUCACACCUGGAGAGUUUCUGGUAUUCUACCAGUCUCGGCUAUGGGAGGGAGAGUCCAGCAGAAGCCUACCCAUUCCAUUCCUAGCUUGGGCAGUGGUUAGCAAGGUGAAGGCAAUCUGCUACAACU